AUGGAAUUGUAUUCCAUGCUUGCUGACGACACGACCAAGGGGGAGCAUGUAGAUGGUGAAGAGGGUUGGACCGAGCACGGAGCCCUGGGGGACCCCACAGACAACAGUGUGAGGGCGGGAUUUAGCAUCCCCCAGGGCCACGAACUCGGUCCUUCCCGUGAGGUAGGAGUGAAACCAUUGAAGGGUGGUGCCAGAGAUACCAAUGUCGUGAUGGAGGCGAUGAAGGAGGAUGUGGUGAUCAACAGUAUCAAAUGCAGCAGAGGUCGAGAAGGAUGAGGAGGGACGUGGAGCUGGAGUCAGAGGUCAUCAGGAGGUCAUUGGUGACUCUGAUGAGAGCUGUCUCGGUGCUGUGGGAGGGACGAAAGCCAGAUUGGAAUUUUUCAUAUAGACUGUUUGAUUUAAGAUGGUUGUGAAGUUGGAUGGAUACAAUUCUUUCGAGAGUUUUGGAGAUGAAGGGGAGAUUGGAGAUAGGUCUGUAGUUUGACAGGGAGCUAGGAUCAAGAGUGGGUUUUUUGAGGAGGGGCUUGAUGAUAGCUGUUUUGAGGCUGACUGGAACAUGGCCGGUUUGAAGAGAGAGAUUUAUUAUGUUUGUUAUUAGUUGACUGAUGGAAUGACAGUGAGCUUUAAGCAG